rnacentral:lncRNA from 1 species
UUACAACAAAACGGACAGUGUUUGUCUUCUAUGUAAUAGUCAUACAGACCCAAGUGACAUUCUACAGCACGUAUCGGAGCAUGGACGUUGGAUCAAGUUCCGCUGCAAGUGGCCAGAGUGUACAUACAAGGCGUACAACAGAGUCGAAUUAAUUCUGCACGUCACGAAAGAGCACAAAUUCAAAAAUGGAGAAGUUGCUCAUGAUUUUGUCGACCUGAUCUCAAGAGAAGACUGGAAGUUUGUUGUCGCAACGUCAGCCAAUAAUGGCAGUGUCCUACUAGGGAAAGUAACUGAACUUAAUGAUAGACUUAACGGAAAAGAAAGAAUUAAUGGAUCUGGACCACUUUUGAAAAUAUUCUCCAAGUGGCAAGAGAUGUAGAAAAUUCCGUUCCAUCCAAAGAAAAUAUAGAAGAAUCAACAGAGUCAGAUACCAAACCAGAAUGUAUAGAUCUUGAUAGCUCCAUGAGUGAUAGUGACAUAAUUGAUGUCAGCAGUUCGGAGGAAGAAAUUUUAAAGGCUUUCCUUGUAGUCAACAGUCCUAUGAGCCGGAAAAUACAAGCUCUGAAAGAGCUCGUGUUAUUAAUACAGAAUGUGUCAGUCCUAGCGAAGAUCAAAGUGCAGGUGAAGGAGUCCGUAAUACAAAUGAAUUAAUUUCAAGAUCUAGCUGCUUAGCUUCAGAUUUAAACAUGGAUGAUGAAGUCAAAUCGCCCAAGAGAACAAAAGAUUUAAGUGAAGGAUUACUUUGUGAACCGUCCUCAAAUACAGAAGUAACUCUUGAGGAGCAUGUGGAACCAAAUAUGGAACCAUCCAAAUCUCCCGUAAACACUGAAGCAUCAAUUACGUCCCGUCUGCUUGAUGAACCAUUGUCACCAGAAGCUCCGUCUAGUCCAGUGUCGAUUGCUGAAUCACUGGAAAUGGCUGACUCUCCCGAAACAUCUGUGAAUCCAAGCACAAAAUCGCCAGUUGACUCACCUUCACCAGAUUCAGAUGAAAGAACCCUUGCUAGUCCUGUUACAUAUACAAUCUGUGAUAUUUCAGGGAUGACAGAUGAUGAUGAUGAAGAUGAUUCUGUGGACGAAUCUCAGUGCGAUGAUACAGCAGAUGCUGACCCAUCGUCUUCUGCUUACGGUAAGUCUGGAAUGGACGUGGAAAUGGAUGACGACCACCUUCGAGCUGUUAUGAUGGAGAUGAUCUUUGGCCAAUCAAGUGAAAGUCCUACCUCUUCCCAUAAAUUCAACGUUGAAAGUCAUAGCACCAGUAAAAAACGGAAACUCCUCGACACAGAACUUAAUGUUUAG